GAGGGAGAGAGAGAAGGAGAGAGAGGUGUGUGUGGUGGCACGUUGGACAGAGGGGCUCGGCUGGAGUUGCAUUCCAACGCGUCGCUCUCAAUCCCCGCUACUCCCGGCAACACGGUGCCUUGAUCUGGUCCCACGUCAUGCCGGGCAGAGGAGGAGGAGGAGGAGAUGAAGUGCUGGCCGUACCAGGCGGGUGGGACGUCGGCCAAUAAAACACCUGUGACUGUUCAGAUGAUCAGGAACAUCAUCGUCUCUGUCAUCGACUAAAUGAAUCAUCCUGUUGAUGAAUUUCAGGUUCAUUCAUGGUCGCUCCAGGUUUCUGAAGCUCAGAGUGAGCUGCUGCGCCGUCGUCAUCGUGGCAGUGCCUGACUCCGCCCCUAACUCCCAGCCAAUCCAAAUAUGGUCAAAGAGGAGGGGCCGUUGGUGCAUAAACUCAAAGAGACCACGCCCUCAAUCCUCCACAACUUUAGUCCUUGAUAAAAUGUAAACAGGUGAGUUACAUAAACAGGUGUCAUGAAGGUGGAAAUCGUCACUGACUGUAUUUACUGUUAUGAACCAAAACACCAAAGAUGAUUCCUCAUAUGUGAAAACCUACUU